GACGAACGCUGGCGGCGUGCUUAACACAUGCAAGUCGUACGGUAAGGCCCUUUCGGGGGUACACGAGUGGCGAACGGGUGAGUAACACGUGAGUAACCUGCCCACAACUUUGGGAUAACGCUAGGAAACUGGUGCUAAUACUGGAUAUGUUCUCCUGCUGCAUGGUGGGGGUUGGAAAGCUCCGGCGGUUGUGGAUGGACUCGCGGCCUAUCAGCUUGUUGGUGGGGUAGUGGCCUACCAAGGCGGCGACGGGUAGCCGGCCUGAGAGGGUGACCGGCCACAUUGGGACUGAGAUACGGCCCAGACUCCUACGGGAGGCAGCAGUGGGGAAUAUUGCACAAGGGGCGCAAGCCUGAUGCAGCAACGCCGCGUGCGGGAUGACGGCCUUCGGGUUGUAAACCGCUUUCAGCAGGGACGAAGCUUUUUGUGACGGUACCUGCAGAAGAAGCACCGGCUAACUACGUG
rnacentral:rRNA from 1 species